rnacentral:hammerhead_ribozyme from 1 species
AUCCAACUGAUGAGUCCCAAAUGGGACGAAAUGCGCUCCUAGAU